GUAUCCCUGACCGUGCUAAGGUAGCAUAAUCAUUUGCCUUCUAAUUAAAGGCUAGUAUGAAAGGACAAACGAAAUUCCUACUAUAUCAUUGUUACACUUUAAAAAUUAAUCUUCAGGUGCAGAUGCCUGAAUUCCUUUGAAAGACAAAAAGACCCUAUAGAGUUUUAGUAUACCUCUCCUCCUUAAUAUAACUUUAGUUGGGGCGACUAAGGAUUUCUCAAACCACCCUAUACAACCAAGAAUAAUCAUUCCUAUAAGAGACCCACUUCUGAUUGACCUUAAAAAUAAACUACCUUAGGGAUAACAGGCUUAUCUUCCUAGAGAGCUCAAAUCAAAAGGAAGGUCUGGCACCUCGAUGUUGGCUUAGAGUAACCUAUCAAUGCAAAAGUUGAUAUAGUCAGUUUGUUCAACUGUUUAACCUCU
rnacentral:rRNA from 1 species